AACGAACGCUGGCGGCAUGCCUAACACAUGCAAGUCGAACGAGACCUUCGGGUCUAGUGGCGCACGGGUGCGUAACGCGUGGGAACCUGCCCUUAGGUUCGGAAUAACUCCCCGAAAGGGGUGCUAAUACCGGAUAAUGUCUUCGGACCAAAGAUUUAUCGCCUUUGGAUGGGCCCGCGUUGGAUUAGCUAGUUGGUAGGGUAAAAGCCUACCAAGGCGACGAUCCAUAGCUGGUCUGAGAGGAUGAUCAGCCACACUGGGACUGAGACACGGCCCAGACCCCUAGGGGGGGCAGCAGUGGGGAAUUUUGGAAAAGGGGCGAAAGCCUGACCCAGCAAUGCGGGGGGAGGGAUGAAGGCUUUAGGGUUGUAAAGCUUUUUUCCCCGGGAUGAUAAUGACAGUACCGGGAGAAAAAGCCGCGGCUAACCCCGU
rnacentral:rRNA from 1 species